rnacentral:rRNA from 1 species
AUGGAUAAGAAAUAACAAGAAGAUAGACGGUAAAAAAGAGUAGAGAUCAGGAAAAAUAACGAUGGCGAAGGCAAGCCAUCUGACCUAAACUGACGAUGAGGUAACGAAAGCAUGGGGGAGCAAACAGGUUAGAUACCCUGUAGAACAAAACGUAAACGAUGUCUACUAAGCCGAUGGGAUCUUUGAAACUUUAGUGGCGCAGCUAAACGCGAUAAGUAGACCGACUGAGGAGUACGGUCGCAAAGAAUAAACUCAAAUGAAUUGACGGGGGCCCGCACAAGCGGUGGAGCAUGUGGUUUAAUUAGAUGCAACGGAAGAACCUUAACUGGUCUAAACAUAGUAAGAACUUUCCAGAGAUGGAUUGGUGCCUUCGGGAACUUACAUCCAGGUGCAGCAUGGCUGUCGUCAGCUCGUGUCGUGAGAUGUUGGGUUAAGUCCCGCAACGAGCGCAACCCUUUUCCUUACUAGCCAGCAUUUCGGAUGGGAACUUUAAGGAUACUGCCAGUGACAAACUGGAGGAAGGCGGGGACGACGUCAAGUCAUCAUGGCCCUUACUACCAGGCCUACCCACGUGCUACAAUGGUCGGUACAAAGGGUUGCUACCUAGCGACAGGAUGCUAAUCUCAAAAAGUCGAUCGUAGUCUGGCUUGGAGUCACCAACUCGACUCCAUGAACUAGGAAUCCCCAGUAAUCCUCGAUCAGAACCCACGGUGAAUCCGUUACCGGCCUUUGUCCACAUUGAU